rnacentral:rRNA from 1 species
ACGGCUCAGUAACACGUCGAUAAUCUGCCUUCGGGUCUGGGAAAACCUUGGGAAACUGAGGCUAAACCCGGAUAGAGGAUUUGUCCCUGGAACGGUUCAUCCUCAGAAAAGCAAUGCCCGAAGAUGGGUCGGCGGCUGAUUAGGUAGUUGGUGAGGUAAUGGCCCACCAAGCCUUAGAUCAGUAGGGGCCUUGAGAGAGGGAGCCCCGAGAAGGGCACUGAGAUACUGGCCCUAGCCCUACGGGGUGCAGCAGGCGCGAAAACUCUACAAUGCACGAAAGUGUGAUAGGGGAACCCUAAGUGCUUAUGCUUUGCAUAGGCUUUUGCCAAGAGUAAAUAUCUUGGCGAAUAAGUGGUGGGUAAGACUGGUGCCAGCAGCCGCGGUAACCCCAGCGCCACAAGUGGUAGCCACAAUUAUUGGGCCUAAAGCGUCCGUGGCCGGUCCUGUAAAUUCUUUGUGAAAUCAUCAUGCUCAACAUGAUGGCGUGCAGGGGACACUGCAGGACUUGGGACCGGGAGGAGUCAGGGGUAUUCCAGGGGUAGCGGUAAAAUGUUAUAAUCCUUGGAGGACCACCUGUGGCGAAGGCGCCUGACUAGAACGGAUUCGACGGUGAGGGACGAAAGCUAGGGGAGCGAACCGGAUUAGAUACCCGAGUAGUCCUAGCUGUAAACGCUGCGAGCUAGGUGUUGCGUAUUCUUAGAGAGUAC